GUAAAACGGUUUAACCUAAAGGCAAGGAAUAAAGUGUAUUUUAUAAAAUAAUAAAAGUAGGACUAAAACUCAUUUUCAUUCUUAGACUUUCAGCAAGAAAGCAAUCAGCAAAGUGCAUCCUAAUGCACUAUCUAUUUUUUGUGUUGGUAGAGCUCAAGCUUCUUGACAAGCAUGAUUGAACUUGAUUAACUUGACUAAAACUAACAACCUAAAAUCUGUUUAUUUACUUAUACAAAUUAGUUAAUCAAAAGAAUAAUUCUUUGUCAAAUGCCUAUCAAAUCUAUAGUUAUUGUUGUUGUUUUCAUCAUUAUAUCAUUGUUAUUAUGUUACCAUAGAUGUCGGCUAGUAUGAGAAUCUUAAAUGUCAGAUUAAUGAAUAUAAUUCAAUCAUGAUGAUAAGUGAAUUUUUGUGACCGCUAAGCAGUGCGGGAUGGCUGGUGCAUUAGAGACUUUAUGCGGACAAGCCUAUGGAGCAGACAAAUUACUAUCCUAUGCACUAGAGACUUUUUGUGACCGCUAAUCAUCAUCUCUCUUAUUCUGGUUUGUAUCCCUAUAUAUAUCCUAUGGAUAUUCAAAGACAAAUUACUAAUACUCAUAGGACAAGAUCCAACAAUCUCACAUAUAGCAGACAUACUGUGUAUGCCUCAUCCCUAACCUGUUUGCAUAAGCUAUACUUCAGCCACUAAUUUGCUUUUACCAGAUUCAGAGCCUGAUCCUUCCAGUGCUCUUUAGUUCAUUUGCAGCUCUAUGUUUCCAUAUACCUUUUUGUUGGAUUCUCGUUUUUAAAUCAAAAUUUGGAAGCAGUGCAGCUGCAUUAGCCUCUGCUUCAUCAUAGUUGUUGGAUGUGCUCAUGCUUGGGGUAUACAUGAAGUACUCUUUUGCUUGUGAGAAAACUCGUCCCGUAUUCUCAAAGGAUGUCUUCUUUAGCAUGAGGGAGUUAUUUUUGCUUUGCUGUUGCUUUGGCUGCAAUGGUUUGGUAAUUUUCUAUUUUGUUCUUUCUUUCAAGAUUUUUGUAGUAUUCAUUUUUUGGCUACAUGUAUUGAGUCUCUUAGCAUUUUUCUGCAUGCCAAUCAUAAUCCUCUUGAUGGUGGUCGUUUGAGGGUCUUAUUUUGCUUUCUGGGCUUUUACCUAAUCCAAAAUUGGAGACUUUAGUGCUUUCGCUAUGUAAGGUUGAGUUGGGAGCUGGGAAUGCACAAGCAGCUAAAUGACUGUUAUAAUGGUUCUUGUAGUUGCAGAGAUUUAUUGUAGCCGUGAUUCUCUUCUUCUGCCAUAAUGUUUUGGUCUAUGCCUUUCGCAGUAAGAAGGAAAUUGCAGAUAUGGGUCCUUUGCUUUGUCUCUCAAUAGUCAUCUUUCAGGGUCCCUAGAGGAAGUGGCUGGCAGGAUAUUGGAGCCUAUGUAAAUCUUGAGGCAUAUUAUUUGGUUGGGGUUCCAGUAGGUGUUGUUUUGGCCUUCGUUGUACACUUGAAAGGAAAGGGUCUUUGGAUUGGAUUACUGACAGGGUCUACUGUAGAAGCAUUUCUGCUUGCUCUUAAAACUAUUUUCACAAAUUGGGAAAAACAUGUUACUAGUACCAAAAAA